CUGAUGUAUGAUGGAUGGAUGGAUAGAUAGAUACGUUAUUCAUCCCGAGGGAAAUGUUAGGUAUCCAGUAGCUUAGACAACCAUAACACAACAGACAUGCACACAAAUAUCUCACAUACAUAAAAAUCACUCACAGAAAUUUAAAGAGUUAACAAUU